CUGGCUCAGGACGAACGCUGGCGGCAUGCCUAACACAUGCAAGUCGAACGGGGGUAGCAAUACCCUAGUGGCGAACGGGUGAGUAACACAUAAGCAAUCUGCCCUUCACAGGGGGAUAACAGCGGGAAACUGCUGCCAAUACCGCAUAAGACCACGGUACCGCAUGGUACAGGGGUAAAAACGAAUCAGUGGUGAAGGAUGAGCUUAUGUCCCAUUAGCUAGUUGGUGAGAUAACAGCCCACCAAGGCGACGAUGGGUAGCCGACCUGAGAGGGUGAUCGGCCACACUGGAACUGAGACACGGUCCAGACUCCUACGGGAGGCAGCAGUGGGGAAUAUUGGGCAAUGGAAGGAAACUCUUACCCAGCAAUGCCGCGUGAGUGAAGAAGGUCUUCGGAUUGUAAAGCUCUUUGAUUGGGGACGAAGAAAGUGACGGUACCCAAAGAACAAGCCCCGGCUAACUACGUGCCAGCCGCCGC
rnacentral:rRNA from 1 species